UAUUAUCAAAUUCAAUGAUUUUGUUAAGCAAUUUUUUCUUUCUUUUUCCAGAUUUCAUAAGUGUUGGAACUCCACACUUUAGUUUGGUAUUCAGAGCUUUCAAUUUAGAGGUUAAUAUGUAAUCCGGCCUCCCCUCAAACUCAAAAGAUGUCCACCAAUCUUUGAUUUUAUCAUUGAAAUCUUCUGUCUCCAGCCACCACCUUUCAAACUUGAAAUACGAUUUAACAUAGACCCAACUACCACUUGUAAGCACAACUGGAGAAUGAUCAGAACAAACUCACGGCAUCAAUUCUUGCUUUACAUUAUUGAACUUUUCUCCCCAUUUAGUAGAGUAUAAAAUUCUAUCAAUUCUAGAACCAGAUUCAGUAUUGCUUCCCCUAGUACAAGUGUAAUUUCCACAACUUCCCCCUCCCAAGCUUUACUACCCCAUAGGAUAAGGAUCCCCCCUCUAGUGCCACUAGCCUCUAGCUAGCCAUAUUUGACUCCCCUAUUUCCCCAAACUUGUUUAAUAGCCUCCUUAUUUUCUCCUUCUAGCUUUGUUUCUUGUAAACAUACAUCUGCCUUCCACUCUUGCAACACACUAUUAAUAAUUCUCCUCUUAUCCAUGCAAUUCAGUCCCCUCACAUUCCAUGAUAUUAUCUUCACAUUCAUCAUGUACCUGUGAUUUUUCGUUUUUCCCCUUGUUCUUGACCCAUUACUCUUGAACUUCAUGCCAAUAGCCGACCCAUUUAAUUCAAACCCCUGAUUUUGGUCAAAUGCCCCAUUUGAUUUUCUGCUUCAUUGAUCACAAGGCCUUUUAUUGUCUAUUUUUUUGAAAAGGGCCCAAGCUUCUUUUUUGCAUCUAUUGAAGACCACUCCGAACUCCUUACUCAACUUAAUAAUAUUUUGAUGUACCCAGAUUGAUGCGUCCAUCUCCCUAUCACUUUCUUCUUCGAUAGCUUGGAAGUUUAAAGGUUCAACAAUUUUGAUAUUCCAAGACUCUGUUUCCGAUCUGUCUGCUAUUUGCAUGCCUAAUUGAGAUUCGAGAGAGAUAGUAUUAGCUCUUUCCUCGUCUAUGGAUGCUACAGCAUCAACGAAAUCCUCUCCCUCACAAGGGUUUUUGAAUUCCACUAAAGGAUUUUUUUUGUUCCUCUGUGAUUGCCUCUUCAGUAACAUUGUCGAAGAAUUCUCCUUCCCUAAAGCUGGCUUCUACCUCUUACUCCAUAGGAUCAAGCUUUGAGACCACCGUCUCUUUUGUCAAAGAGUAAUCCAAAAUUUAAGCUUCAUUAAAUGAGUUUGGGCCUUCAUUAAAAUAAAAACCCUUUGUUUCUGAGCAUUCUUUUCCUGUAGGACCCGGCCCAGCUAAUUUAUGAUUUAAAGUUUUCACAUGUGUUGUUGGGUCCAUGCCAGCUGUUAGAUUUGUUGUGCAUCCCAUGUGUCUGUCACCAUCUACACCAGCAAUUGAAUUGUUAUUUCUUCCUCAAUGUUUUUUAAUUGUCCAGGGGUUAUUGUCCAGUGACUUCUUUAGCUCUCCGGUCACCACCAAGGUUUGAAUUUUCGGCCAGAUCAGAAUAAUAAAGGUGAUUCUUUAGGGAAGUUUCUUCUUCAGUUUCUAGCCACCCACCACAUUGUUCACCAAUGGCUUUGAAUGCACUUUCCGUCCAGAGAUGUAGCGGGAGGCCCAUAGCUUUAAUCCAAGUUGAGUUAUUUCGUUGGGUACAACAUCUCGAUGUUGGUGACCAACAUUGGACAUAUAACUUCAGAUGCUUCCAAGUCCACUCUCCAUGAAGGAUUAUACUGCCAUGUGCUUAUUAGGGAACUCAAAAAGGAAAGAGUUUCCAUUCAUCUCAUAAAUGUUGACCCCAAAAUCCUUGUUCCAUGUACUGGUAACCCAUCUUCUAAUAUCUGUAAGAGUGGGUAUCUCAUUCUUCCCUGCAGCAAAGGUCCCAACAAUGCACCUUCCCAGUGAACCUUGUUGAGCUUUUGCAUCAGCAUAAUUUAUGACUAUAUCUCCCCUGUUUCGACAUAUUUCUGCAUCAGAUGUUGCCUUUGAUGGCCACUUACUGGUUCUGACUGCAUCGACAUAAAGGGUUUUUAGGUCUGUUCUUCUAGAUCUGCUUCUACUUGUACUAGGGACUUUCUUUUGAUUUUUAAUAAAGCUGUCUACCUUUAAUGUUAUGUCCCCCACCCCUUAUUUAAUGAAAGCUAUGGUAUUAUAAUAA